rnacentral:rRNA from 1 species
AGCGUAGGCGGUUUUGCAAGUCAGAAGUGAAAGGCUACGGCUCAACCGUAGUAAGCUUUUGAAACUGCAAGACUAGAGUGCAGGAGAGGCAAGUGGAAUUCCUAGUGUAGAGGUGAAGUUCGUAGAUAUUAGGAGGAACACCAGUGGCGAAGGCGACUUGCUGGACUGUAACUGACGCUGAUGCUCGAAAGCGUGGGGAGCGAACA